rnacentral:rRNA from 1 species
AACGAACGCUGGCGGCGUGCUUAACACAUGCAAGUCGAACGGUAAGGCCCUUCGGGGUACACGAGUGGCGAACGGGUGAGUAACACGUGGGUGAUCUGCCCUGCACUUCGGGAUAAGCCUGGGAAACUGGGUCUAAUACCGGAUAGGACCACUGCCUGCAUGGGUGGUGGUGGAAAGCUUUUGCGGUGUGGGAUGGGCCCGCGGCCUAUCAGCUUGUUGGUGGGGGGAUGGCCUACCAAGGCGACGACGGGUAGCCGGCCUGAGAGGGUGACCGGCGACACUGGGACUGAGAUACGGCCCAGACUCCUACGGGAGGCAGCAGUGGGGAAUAUUGCACAAUGGGCGCAAGCCUGAUGCAGCGACGCUGCGUGAGGGAUGACGGCCUUCGGGUUGUAAGCCUCUUUCAGCACCGACGAAGCGCAAGUGACGGUAGGUGCAGAAGAAGGACCGGCCAACUACGUGCCAGCAGCCGCCGCAGUAA